rnacentral:rRNA from 1 species
GUCCGUGGUCAUACCACACUGACCAUGUUUGAUCCCAUCUGAUCUUGGAAGUGAAGCAGGUUUGGGCUUAGUCAAUUGGAUAUAUUCCUUAACCAAUCAAUAAAUAAACAUUUAUUAAGCACCUACUGUGU